rnacentral:rRNA from 1 species
AUAUUCUGUGAGCAGGAAAGCAGGGGAUCGCAAGACCUUGCGCUGAUUGAGCGGCCGAUAUCAGAUUAGCUAGUUGGUGAGGUAAAGGCUCACCAAGGCGACGAUCUGUAGCGGGUCUGAGAGGAUGAUCCGCCACACUGGAACUGAGACACGGUCCAGACUCCUACAGGAGGCAGCAGUGGGGAAUUUUGGACAAUGGGGGCAACCCUGAUCCAGCCAUGCCGCGUGAGUGAAGAAGGCCUUCGGGUUGUAAAGCUCUUUCGGCCGGGAAGAAAUCGUAUGGGUUAAUACCCUGUGCGGAUGACGGUACCGGCAUAAGAAGCACCGGCUAACUACGUGCCAGCAGCCGCGGUAAUACGUAGGGUGCGAGCGUUAAUCGGAAUUACUGGGCGUAAAGCGUGCGCAGGCGGUUUUGUAAGACAGGCGUGAAAUCCCCGGGCUCAACCUGGGAACUGCGCUUGUGACUGCAAGGCUAGAGUAUGGCAGAGGGGGGUGGAAUUCCACGUGUAGCAGUGAAAUGCGUAGAGAUGUGGAGGAACACCAAUGGCGAAGGCAGCCCCCUGGGCCAAUACUUACGCUCAUGCACGAAAGCGUGGGUAGCAAACAGGAUUAGAUACCCUGGUAGUCCACGCCCUAAACGAUGUCAACUAGGUGUUGGGUGGGUAAAACCAUUUAGUACCGGAGCUAACGCGUGAAGUUGACCGCCUGGGGAGUACGGCCGCAAGGUUAAAACUCAAAGGAAUUGACGGGGACCCGCACAAGCGGUGGAUGAUGUGGAUUAAUUCGAUGCAACGCGAAAAACCUUACCUACCCUUGACAUGUCCAGGAGCCUGAAGAGAUUUGGGUGUGCCCGAAAGGGAACUGGAACACAGGUGCUGCAUGGCUGUCGUCAGCUCGUGUCGUGAGAUGUUGGGUUAAGUCCCGCAACGAGCGCAACCCUUGUCGUUAAUUGCCAUCAUUUAGUUGGGCACUUUAACGAGACUGCCGGUGACAAACCGGAGGAAGGUGGGGAUGACGUCAAGUCCUCAUGGCCCUUAUGGGUAGGGCUUCACACGUCAUACAAUGGUCGGUACAAAGGGUUGCCAACCCGCGAGGGGGAGCCAAUCCCAGAAAGCCGAUCGUAGUCCGGAUUGCAGGCUGCAACUCGCCUGCAUGAAGUCGGAAUCGCUAGUAAUCGUGGAUCAGCAUGUCACGGUGAAUACGUUCCCGGGUCUUGUACACACCGCCCGUCACACCAUGGGAGCGGGUUCCGCCAGAAGUAGGUAGCCUAACCGCAAGGGGGGCGCUUACCACGGCG